AGUGAACGCUGGCGGCGUGCCUAAUACAUGCAGGUCGAAGGUAGUGGCGCACGGGUGAGUAAUAUAUAGCUAAACCGCCCCUUGCUGGAGGACAAAAGAUAGAAAUGACUGCUAAUACUCCAUAUCGAGGGAUGAGACUAUAUCGUAUCAGCUAGUCGGUGAGGUAACGGCCUACCGAGGCUACGACGCGUAACUGGUCUGAGAGGAUGAUCAGUCACAUUGGAACUGAGACACGGGCCAAACACCUGCGGGAGGCAGCAGUAGUGAAUAUUGCGCAAUGGGGGAGACCCUGACGCAGCAACGCCGCGUAAAGGAUGACACUUUGCGGAGCGUAAACUCCUUUUGUUAGGGAAGCGGUACCUAACGAAUAAGCACCGGCUAACUCCGUGCCAGCAGCCGCGGUAAUAC
rnacentral:rRNA from 1 species